AAUCCAAAAUUUCCAUUACCAGAAUCUGAUAAAUUUAAAACUUGAAUUUACAAUCGAAACUGGCCCAUAUACAUUGCAAAACCUUAAAUCUAUUUAUAACAUAAAAUUAAUCUAAAUCAAAUACAUAAUCAAAUCAAAUAUAAAUUUCCUAAAUCGAUUAAUCUAAUUUAAAUCCUAACCUAAAAACUAGUCUAUAUAAACCCUAAUCUAAAACAGACUGAGGGAGGAAGAAAACCCUAAAAGAAUCCCCAUAAUUCUUGUUCCUGCGAUCCACCAAACUCUCACCAAAGCUCCCAUUAAACAGAGGUUAGGG
rnacentral:lncRNA from 1 species